rnacentral:tRNA from 1 species
AAGCUUUUGACUUAAUUUAAACCUUAAUUUCGACUUAAGAGAUGGCUUACAGCCUUAAGUUUU